UCUCUCUCUCUCUCUCUCUCUCUCUCUCUCUCUCUCUCUCCAUGGACGGGACAUGGUCCACGUCCAUGGGCUGUGGUGGGACUUCUUCGUGAGCAUGUGUCUUUGGUCGCCGGCUCCCUCCGGUGCAAUAGUGUCGGCAGCCUAGGCGGCCGCGGAAGCAACCCGCAUUGUCGGUUCAGCCAAUGGGGCCGGCUGAGCAGAAGGCGGGGUCUUGCUGACGGUCUUUUUGGUCUUCGUGAAGAUAGAUCUAUGCUUGCCGGAUCCAAUAAAAAAAGACGACUCUGGACCAGAAAAGUGAUGGCACCUGGUUUUGUUUCGACCACGAUACUAGAGACUCCGAGGGGUUUUGCCUACUUCAGUGUGUACGGACCUGCAACUUCUGGACCAGAGAGUAUAUGGUCAUUGUUUAUCAAGAAGAGCUUUGCUACAAAAGUUAUGAGUUUGCGUGAGUUCGUAAAGGUCGAUAAGAAGUCUGUUGCGCUUGCGCUUAAGGAUGGUCUUGGUAAGAGGCUUGCUGAUACAACCAGCAAGUGUUGUUCUGAUGGAGGACACUUGUCCAAGUUGAUUUUAUGCUUUGUUCAUGUCGAAAAUAAAAAGUUGAUGCAAUGCUUGUCUAUUGACCAUGUUCUUGUUGAUCCCAAGCAGGUUGAUGGAAACAUCAUAAUCCUUGUUGGUUUAGUGGAUCGAUGCGAUACAAGGUUCAAGCAUUCUGCCAAGACGAUACGUGAGAUCAGUGGCGGAGGCAGCGUCCCAAAGGACUGUCCAAAGCCCAGCCCCAGCCGUCUAGGUUUCUUCUCGUGUGUGAAGCAGCUUCGUGCCUCCGUCUCCUCUCUGGCCACGCCGCCUCAGCGGCUCAGCCCUCACCUGUCUCUCCUCCGAGCUCCGGCCACUGGUUCCCCUCCUCUCGCCGCUCCCCUCCUCUCCCCUCCUCUCGCCGCUCGCCCCGCCCACAGUCGCCGACUCGCCGUCGUCAGGCCAGGAGAGACGAGACAGGGGCAUCCGCUGCGUCUCCCGUGCAGACUACGGCUGGAUCGAUCCUGUCGUGCUCGCGGCUGGCUGGACGCCUCUCCAGCUGCGUCUCCCUCACCACCGCCGGACCAGUACUGCGCCGGACGGCCUCAAAUCAUCUUCCCCAACCUCCGUUUGAACAAAUCAGCAAGAACUGAUUCGAACAUGAAGAGGAAUGGUGCCAUUCUGGACCUGUUUCGAAAACAUGAAGAGAAAGCGAGGAAGAUUGCUACUGAACAUCACACUGAAGAUAUUGAAAAUGCGCGGUGUCCUAAUUCCCCACCUCCAAUCCAUUCCGAUACGGACAUGGAUACAGAUACUGAGAUCGAUGUUGAAAUUGAAGAUGCAACGCCAAGUCUUCCAUCACCCCAACAGCCAAGUGCACAUGUCUUUUUAGGUGAUCCAGGGAAAAGAACUCCUAUUUCAGACUAUGCUUUUAAUGAUCAAGAUAGUGUUCGAAGAAGAUACAUUGCAAAAACUGCAUGCCGACCAUAUGCACAUGCUUUUCAAGUCAGGAAAAUCUAUGUGUCUCAAAGGAAGCAGCAUAUUGCUUUGUGUGCUAUUUGUUCAAAGGGAAAACUAAUGGGGGGCCUAGGGGUGAUGCCUUUGUUAAAACUGGUUGGAGAAAUUGGAACAAACCUGAUGCACUGGACAAACAUAUGGGCGGUAUUGGUAGCAUUCACAACCAAGCUCAAGAGAAGUACAAUUUAUUUGUGA
rnacentral:rRNA from 1 species